GUCCAAUGUCUUUUCCAUACAGGAAUCCUUUCUACAAUAUCCCUGAAGGGCUAUUAUCAAAUCUCCACUGGAAUAAUAUCCAUGACAAAGUUGACCACAGCCUUAGGGGAGAGCUCUCGCUGGCUACUUCAACUGACCUUUGGGCCAUAAAUGGGAGUUUCUGCAGCAGUGUGUGACAGGAAGACUUCAGAGAAGUCCCCAAAAGUUCAGUAAACAAAAACAUUUGGAAAAAGAUCUAUGUACCACAGAAGGAAAUCUCCUUAACCAAGGUCUCAUAACUUACAUUCCUGUGGAAUUGGUGUGCCUCACGGCUUCAGCAGUGUCAUGGAAAAAGUGAUGACCUUACAUUCAUAAGUCUCCAGGUCCUAGUCCUGCUACCUACUAUGUGUUUGACCUUGGGGAUGCAGACAGGCUGUGCAGUAAUGAUGAUUGAUGUCUGAUGCACGUCUUAGUGAGGCGGAAGGUGAGGCUGAGGAUCAGCUGCAGCCCACAAGAGAAAUGUGGUAAUUGGUAUUGCUCACUGCACUGCAAGUCACAUCUUCCUGGAAUUAUAGAAGAGACAC